GGUUAAGUGACUAAGCGUACACGGUGGAUGCCUUGGCAGUCAGAGGCGAUGAAAGACGUAGUAACUUGCGAUAAGCCCAGAUUAGGUAGUAACAACCAUUUGAGUCUGGGAUUUCUGAAUGGGGAAACCCACGUACAUAAGCACGUAUCCUUACCUGAAUACAUAGGGUAAGGAGGCGAACCGGGGGAACUGAAACAUCUAAGUACCCCGAGGAAAAGAAAUCAACCGAGAUUCCGAAAGUAGCGGCGAGCGAAAUUGGACUAGCCCUUAAGCUUUACACGCGUUAGACGAACGGUCUGGAAAGUCCGACGAUACAGGGUGAUAGUCCCGUAGUUGACGACNNGUGUUCAGUGAAAUCGAGUAGGGCGGGACACGUGAUAUCCUGUCUGAAUAUGGGGGGACCAUCCUCCAAGGCUAAAUACUACUGACUGACCGAUAGUGAACCAGUACCGUGAGGGAAAGGCGAAAAGAACCCCUGUGAGGGGAGUGAAAUAGAACCUGAAACCGUGUACGUACAAGCAGUAGGAGCAGGCUUUGUCCUGUGACUGCGUACCUUUUGUAUAAUGGGUCAGCGACUUAUAUUCAGUGGCAAGGUUAACCAUCUAGGGGAGCCGUAGGGAAACCGAGUCUUAACUGGGCGUUCAGUCUCUGGAUAUAGACCCGAAACCAGGUGAUCUAGCCAUGGGCAGGUUGAAGGUUGAGUAACAUCAACUGGAGGACCGAACCGACUAAUGUUGAAAAAUUAGCGGAUGACUUGUGGCUAGGGGUGAAAGGCCAAUCAAACCUGGAGAUAGCUGGUUCUCCCCGAAAGCUAUUUAGGUAGCGCCUCGGACGAAUACUACUGGGGGUAGAGCACUGUUAAGGCUAGGGGGUCAUCCCGACUUACCAACCCUUUGCAAACUCCGAAUACCAGUAAGUACUAUCCGGGAGACACACGGCGGGUGCUAACGUCCGUCGUGGAGAGGGAAACAACCCAGACCGCCAGCUAAGGUCCCAAAUUACUACUAAGUGGGAAACGAUGUGGGAAGGCUCAGACAGCCAGGAUGUUGGCUUAGAAGCAGCCAUCAUUUAAAGAAAGCGUAAUAGCUCACUGGUCGAGUCGGCCUGCGCGGAAGAUGUAACGGGGCUAAGUAGUAAACCGAAGCUGCGGCAAUAUACUUUUGAGUAUUGGGUAGGGGAGCGUUCUGUAAGCGGUUGAAGGUGUGUGGUAACGCAUGCUGGACGUAUCAGAAGUGCGAAUGCUGACAUGAGUAACGAUAAAGGGGGUGAAAAACCUCCUCGCCGGAAGACCAAGGGUUCCUGUCCAACGUUAAUCGGGGCAGGGUAAGUCGACCCCUAAGGCGAGGCCGAAAGGCGUAGUCGAUGGGAAACGGGUUAAUAUUCCCGUACUUCUUACAAUUGCGAUGGGGGGACGGAGAAGGCUAGGUGGGCCUGGCGACGGUUGUCCAGGUUCAAGUGCGUAGGCUUAAGAGUUAGGUAAAUCCGGCUCUUUCUAAGGCUGAGACACGACGUCGAGCACCUACGGGUGUGAAGUCAUUGAUGCCAUGCUUCCAGGAAAAGCCUCUAAGCUUCAGAUUGUAAGGAAUCGUACCCCAAACCGACACAGGUGGUCGGGUAGAGAAUACCAAGGCGCUUGAGAGAACUCGGGUGAAGGAACUAGGCAAAAUGGUACCGUAACUUCGGGAGAAGGUACGCUCUUGAUGGUGAAGUCCCUUGCGGAUGGAGCUGACGAGAGUCGCAGAUACCAGGUGGCUGCAACUGUUUAUUAAAAACACAGCACUGUGCAAAAUCGUAAGAUGACGUAUACGGUGUGACGCCUGCCCGGUGCCGGAAGGUUAAUUGAUGGGGUUAGACUUCGGUCGAAGCUCUUGAUCGAAGCCCCGGUAAACGGCGGCCGUAACUAUAACGGUCCUAAGGUAGCGAAAUUCCUUGUCGGGUAAGUUCCGACCUGCACGAAUGGCGUAAUGAUGGCCACGCUGUCUCCACCCGAGACUCAGUGAAAUUGAAAUCGCUGUGAAGAUGCAGUGUACCCGCGGCUAGACGGAAAGACCCCGUGAACCUUUACUACAGCUUGGCACUGAACAUUGACCCUACAUGUGUAGGAUAGGUGGGAGGCUUUGAAGCACGUACGCCAGUAUGUGUGGAGCCGUCCUUGAAAUACCACCCUUGUAGUGUUGAUGUUCUAACGUCGACCCCUAAUCGGGGUUGCGGACAGUGCCUGGUGGGUAGUUUGACUGGGGCGGUCUCCUCCCAAAGAGUAACGGAGGAGCACGAAGGUGGGCUAAUCACGGUUGGACAUCGUGAGGUUAGUGCAAUGGCAUAAGCCCGCUUGACUGCGAGAAUGACAAUUCGAGCAGGUGCGAAAGCAGGUCAUAGUGAUCCGGUGGUUCUGAAUGGAAGGGCCAUCGCUCAACGGAUAAAAGGUACUCCGGGGAUAACAGGCUGAUACCGCCCAAGAGUUCAUAUCGACGGCGGUGUUUGGCACCUCGAUGUCGGCUCAUCACAUCCUGGGGCUGAAGUCGGUCCCAAGGGUAUGGCUGUUCGCCAUUUAAAGUGGUACGCGAGCUGGGUUUAGAACGUCGUGAGACAGUUCGGUCCCUAUCUGCCGUGGGCGUUGGAAGAUUGAAGGGGGCUGCUCCUAGUACGAGAGGACCGGAGUGGACGAACCUCUGGUGUUCGGGUUGUGUCGCCAGACGCAUUGCCCGGUAGCUAAGUUCGGAAUCGAUAACCGCUGAAAGCAUCUAAGCGGGAAGCGAGCCCUGAGAUGAGUCUUCCCUGAUACUUUAAGUAUCCUAAAGGGUUGUCGGAGACUACGACGUUGAUAGGUCAGGUGUGUAAGUGCUGUGAGGCAUUGAGCUAACUGAUACUAAUUGCCCGUGAGGCUUAACCAU
rnacentral:rRNA from 1 species